UUUGGGAAGCACAAAGGCUUUUGCUCAAGUAGCUCUGAGCAGCUUCUCCUGGCUCCUCCUGAGCCAAAGAACCCUUCCCAACACUCCAUGCUGGUAUUUUCCAGACCAGCACGUGCCUUCAAGCACGGAGCAAACUUGGUGAUGCAGCUGCAGAGAGCCAGGAACCAGCUCCUGAAAUGGGAAGAAGAGUCAUUUACAUGGAAGAUGCCACCAGGCAAAGGGGUUGAGAUGCCGAGGUUGGAAAUGGAAUAUGUUUGAUGACACGCACAGAGAACAUUUUGUCUCCUGGCACAUGAGGCAUAAAACACAACCCUGUUGUGCAGUGUAGGGGGUUUCCAGGCUUCUCUGCUGCAUUUAGAACU